rfam:Desulfotomaculum gibsoniae DSM 7213, complete genome.
GGUCAAGCUAACAAGAGCGUACGGUGGAUGCCUGGGCGCUAAGGGCCGAAGAAGGACGUGGUAAGCUGCGAAAAGCUACGGUGAGCCGCAAGCAGGCAUUGAUCCGUAGAUCUCCGAAUGGGGCAACCCGUUACCUGUAACGAGGUAACAUCUUAUGCUGAAUCCAUAGGCAUAAGAAGGGCACCCGGUGAACUGAAACAUCUAAGUAGCCGGAGGAACAGAAAUCAACCGAGAACCCCCAAGUAGCGGCGAGCGAACCGGGGCCAGCCUAAACCUAUUUUGCGUGCAAAAUAGGGGUUGCGGGACUCUCAUAACGGACUAAUAGCCUUAGCCGAACCCGCCAGGAACGGCGGGCCACAGAAGGUAACAGCCCUGUAGGCGAAAAGGCAACGAGUUUAGAGAGCAUCCCAAGUACCGCGGGACACGAGAAACCCCGUGGGAAUCAGGGAGGACCACCUUCCAAGGCUAAAUACCCUUAGCGACCGAUAGCGCACAAGUACCGUGAGGGAAAGGUGAAAAGCACCCCGGGAGGGGAGUGAAACAGAACCUGAAACCGUACGCUUACAACCAGUCAGAGCACAAUAAACGUGUGAUGGCGUACUUUUUGUAGAACGGACCGGCGAGUUACAUUUAGCGUGCCAGGUUAAGGCUGACCAAGGCCGUAAACCGCAGCGAAAGCAAGUCUUAAAAGGGCGCACGUAGUACGCUGAAGUAGACCCGAAACCGGGUGAUCUACCCAUGUCCAGAGUGAAGCGGAAGUAACAUUUCGUGGAGGCUCGAACCAACCGUCGUUGAAAAGGCGGUGGAUGAGGUGUGGGUAGGGGUGAAAUGCCAAUCGAACCCGGAGAUAGCUGGUUCUCCCCGAAAUAGCUUUAGGGCUAGCCUUGUACAAAAUACCCGGAGGUAGAGCACUGAAUGGGCUAGGGGCCUUCACCGGUUACCGAACUCAAUCAAACUGCGAAUGCCGGGCUAUUAAAGUACAGGAGUCAGACUGCGGGUGCUAAGAUUCGUAGUCGAGAGGGAAACAGCCCAGACCGCCAGUUAAGGUCCCCAAAUCGUGCUAAGUGGCAAAGGAUGUGAGGUUGCCCGGACAACCAGGAUGUUGGCUUAGAAGCAGCCACCAUUUAAAGAGUGCGUAAUAGCUCACUGGUCAAGUGACCUUGCGCCGAAAAUGUAACGGGGCUCAAGCACGAUACCGAAACUGCGGCAGACUGUGAAAUUAUCAAUACACCCAGAUAUACAGCGCAAAACAUUUUUGCCGUAAAUAUCAAUAAAAAAUAAAAAAGAAAUUUACGGCCAAAUGCCCCAAGGGCUAAAGCGCGUAAACAAGGGUCUGUUGAUAAUUUCACAGACUGGGUAGGGGAGCGUUCCCAUUGGAUUGAAGCUAUACCGUAAGGAGUAGUGGACUAAUGGGAAGUGAGAAUGCCGGUAUAAGUAAGCGCAAAGGCAGGUGAGAAUCCUGCCCGCCGAAAACCUAAGGAUUCCUGGGGAAGGCUCGUCCGCCCAGGGUAAGUCGGGCCCUAAGCCGAGGCUGAAAAGCGUAGGCGAUGGACAAUCGGUGGAGAAUCCGAUACCACCUUAAAGCCGCUAUUAGGAUGGGGUGACACAGGAGGGCAAGCCAAGCGCGCGGUUGGAAAAGCGCGUCCAAGCCCGUAGGGCGAACUGCAGGCAAAACCGCAGUUCAUACAGCCUGAGAGGUUAUGGGGAGCGAAAAUAAGUAGCGAAGUGGCUGCACCCAAACUGUCAAGAAAAACCUCUAACGAGGCUAUAAGGUGCCCGUACCGCAAACCGACACAGGUAGGUGGGGUGAGAAUCCUAAGGCGCGCGAGAAAACCCUCGUUAAGGAACUCGGCAAAAUGACCCCGUAACUUCGGGAGAAGGGGUACUCCGCUAGUGUGAAAUCUAACCAGAUGGAGCAUGAAGGAGUCGCAGAGAAAAGGCCCAAGCGACUGUUUACCAAAAACACAGGUUCCUGCUAAAUCGCAAGAUGACGUAUAGGAGCUGACGCCUGCCCGGUGCUGGAAGGUUAAGGGGAGAGGUUAGCGCAAGCGAAGCUUUAAACCGAAGCCCCAGUAAACGGCGGCCGUAACUAUAACGGUCCUAAGGUAGCGAAAUUCCUUGUCGGGUAAGUUCCGACCCGCACGAAAGGCGUAACGAUUUGGGCGCUGUCUCAACGAGGGACUCGGCGAACUUGUAGUGCCGGUAAAGAUGCCGGCUACCUGCGACAGGACAGAAAGACCCCGUGGAGCUUUACUGCAGCUUGACAUUGGAUUUUGGUAUUGCAUGUACAGGAUAGGUGGGAGGCUGAGAAGCCAGGGCGCCAGUUUUGGCAGAGCCACCGUUGGGAUACCACCCUUGUGAUAUUGAAAUUCUAACACGAGCCUUUGAAUCAAGGUUAUGGACAGUGUCAGGUGGGCAGUUUGACUGGGGCGGUCGCCUCCCAAAGAGUAACGGAGGCGCCCAAAGGUUCCCUCAGCGCGGUUGGAAAUCGCGCGCACAGAGUGUAAAGGCAGAAGGGAGCUUGACAGCGAGACAAACAAGUCGAGCUGGGACGAAAGUCGGGCUUAGUGAUCCGGCGGCAUUCGUGUGGAAGAGCCGUCGCUCAACGGAUAAAAGCUACCCCGGGGAUAACAGGCUUAUCUCCCCCAAGAGUCCACAUCGACGGGGAGGUUUGGCACCUCGAUGUCGGCUCAUCGCAUCCUGGGGCUGUAGUAGGUCCCAAGGGUUGGGCUGUUCGCCCAUUAAAGCGGUACGUGAGCUGGGUUCAGAACGUCGUGAGACAGUUCGGUCCCUAUCCGUCGCAGGCGCAGGAAACUUGCGAGGAGCUGUCCCUAGUACGAGAGGACCGGGAUGGACGGAUCACUGGCGUACCAGUUAUCGCGCCAGCGGUAGCGCUGGGUACCCAAAUCCGGACGGGAUAAGCGCUGAAGGCAUCUAAGCGCGAAGCCCCCCUCUAGAUAAGGUUUCCCACCUUCUCGAUGUUCGAGGUUCGACGUUAGACGUUCGAAAAAAAAUUACUCGAACAUCGAAUAUCGAAUUUCGAAUCUCGAGAAGGGUAAGACCCCUGGUAGACUACCAGGUAGAUAGGCCGGGCGUGCAAGCACAGCAAUGUGUGCAGCGGACCGGUACUAAUAGGUCGAGGGCUUGACCUG